rnacentral:rRNA from 1 species
ACGGAAUAGAUACCCUGGUAGUCCACGCCCUAAACGAUGUCUACUAGUUGUCGGGUCUUAAUUGACUUGGUAAACGCAGCUAAACGCGUGAAGUAGACCGCCUGGGGAGUACGGUCGCAAGAUUAAAACUCAAAGGAAUUGACGGGGACCCGCACAAGCGGUGGAUGAUGUGGAUUAAUUCGAUGCAACGCGAAAAACCUUACCUACCCUUGACAUGGAUGGAAUCCCUGAGAGAUUGGGGAGUGCUCGAAAGAGAACCAUUGCACAGGUGCUGCAUGGCUGUCGUCAGCUCGUGUCGUGAGAUGUUGGGUUAAGUCCCGCAACGAGCGCAACCCUUGUCAUUAGUUGCUACGAAAGGGCACUCUAAUGAGACUGCCGAUGACAAACCGGAGGAAGGUGGGGAUGACGUCAAGUCCUCAUGGCCC